AGUCCCGGAACAGGUUGUGUGAGCCUCUUCAGGGGUUCAUCCAGCGCUGUUUUGGAGAAAUCUCUAUUUCAAUUUAUUCCUAUACGUUAGUUACUGAAAAACAACAGACAAUCGCAAAAGCAAGUUGCCCGUUUUGUGUUCCUUGAGCCCAAUCAUGAAGUGCCGUCGUGACUGGGCCUCAUGACAAACAACUUGUAACAAGUAACAACAGAGCUCAGGUCCCAGACCGCACUGAAGCUCUGUGAGACCUCUCCUCAUCUGUGCAUGAACGAGUGUCUGACUCUGGAGCCCAGCCUGCUGCUUCCCAGUCUGGUGGUGAAUCCUCCGUAGUCUGAUGGAGGUUUGCUCUUGUUGCCCAGGCUGGAGUGCAAUGGCACAAUCUCGGCUCACUGCAGCCCCUGCCUCCCAGGCUCAAGCAAUUCUUACGCCUCAGCCUCCUGAGUAGAUGGAACUACAGAUGCUAAAAUUGACACCAAAAGCGUAGGUGAUGAGCUUGAAUCAGGUAAGAAUUAUAUUCUACUUCCAGCUAAAGAAGAGGAUAUAGAAGAUCAAUAGCUUAAACAAAACAGAAGGGCAUGGACUGGAACUCCCAAUACCCCUGACAUGGGCUGAGUCAACGUGGUCAUGAACAUGUGACAGGAGGCAGCAGAAGUUGCAGAGAAGAGUGAGGCACGUUUGAAAAAGGCUGAAAAAUGUUUCUGUCCAGGCAAGGGUGUGUGCUGAAUGACUCAAGGAUUUUUUGGGCAACACAAACCAACACGAGCCGUGUGAGGAUCAGGUGACAGCUGCCCAAAAGCUGACACAAGGAACAAGCCUGGAGGAGUGAGGAUGGGUGCUGUGAAGGAGGUUGUGCAGCUGGGCCCGCAGUCGGACCUGGUGAGAUCAGAGGAGGGGGUGCCACCAGUCUGUGGACGAAGAUGAGAAGCUGGAAUAGAGCAGAAAACAGGAGGCUGCCACUCUCCAUCUUUCCCAAAGUCACUCCAGGAGCAAGGGUGUCAUUUACUGAA
rnacentral:lncRNA from 1 species